rnacentral:rRNA from 1 species
UACGGGGGGUGCAAGCGUUGCUCGGAAUCACUGGGCGUAAAGCGUCCGCAGGCGGCUUGAUAAGUCGGGUGUGAAAGCCCGGGGCUCAACCCCGGAACUGCAUUCGAAACUGUCUGGCUUGAGUACGGGAGAGGGUCGUGGAAUUCCUGGUGUAGAGGUGAAAUUCGUAGAUAUCAGGAGGAACACCGGUGGCGAAAGCGGCGACCUGGCCCGAUACUGACGCUCAUGGACGAAAGCGUGGGGAGCGAACAGG